rnacentral:rRNA from 1 species
GAUGAACGCUGGCGGCGUGCCUAAUACAUGCAAGUCGAGCGAAAAGAUGAGGAGCUUGCUCCUCUGACGUUAGCGGCGGACGGGUGAGUAACACGUGGAUAACCUACCUAUCAGACUGGGAUAACUUCGGGAAACCGGAGCUAAUACCGGAUAAUAUAUUGAACCGCAUGGUUCAAUAGUGAAAGACGGUUUUUGUGUCACUUAUAGCUGGCUCCGCGCCGCAUUAGCUAGUUGGUAGGGUAAAGGAUUACCAAGGCAACGAUGCGUAGCCGACCUAAGAGGGUGGUCGGCCACACUGGAAGUGAGACACGUUCCAGACUCCUACGGGAGGCAGCAGUAGGGAAUCUUCCGCAAGGGGGGAGAGCCUGACGGAGCAACGCCGCGUGAGUGAUGAAGGUCUUAGGAUCGGAAAGCUCUGUUAUUAGGGGAGAACAAAUGUGUAAGUAACUAUGCACGUCUUGACGGUACCUAAUCAGAAAGCCACGGCUAACUACGUG